CAAUUUUCAGCGACGGAUAUCUUGGCUCGAGCACCUAUGAAGGGCGCAGCGAAGUGCGAUAAUCGUUGUGAAUUGCAGAACUCCGUGAACCAAUGGCCCCUUGAACGUGCAUUGCGCUCUUGGGAUAUGCCUGAGAGCAUGUCUGCUUCAGUG
rnacentral:rRNA from 1 species